CUCUCUCUCUACAUUCUUUGUUUACAAUCUCUCUCUCUCUAAAACACCAUUGAUAAUCUUCAAGCUCAAGGUAGUUAAUUCAACAUGGUAUCAGAGCCGGUGGUGGCGUCUCUCUGAUCCUGAUCUUCUCUCUACUUCCGCAUUCAUCUCUACGAUUUCUAAAUUUGCAUUCAUCUUUGCGAAUUUCUGUUAUGCAAUUCUUCUUCUGGAGUGCUAUAGUGUAUGUGCCUUCUCCUCUUGAUUUCGAAGCUUGAUUCUUGCUUAUCAGGUGUUUAAUGAAAUGUGUAUGUGAAUUUUUCUAUGUGAUACUCUUCUCUGUAUAAUUGAAAUUGAUUUUCGUCUCAAGAUUGAUCAAGAACAGUCUUCAAACCCUAAAGUCUUGUAAGAAAUUAUGUUUGCUUGUACAAUUUGCGAAAACAUGGUGAUUGAUGCACAACUAGAAAUUGUGCAAUCUCCAAUUACGAAUUUAAUCCCUAAUGUGUCCACUUCUGUGACUGUGAAACUGGAUGAUACAAAUUACCUAGUCUGGCAUUAUCAAAUGCAAUUGCUUCUUGAAAGUCAUGGGAUUCUUGGCUUUGUGGAUGGUUCUCGAUAAUGUCCUACUAGGUUCAUUGAUAAUUCUGAUCUUGAAAGUGUUGAAACUGAAGCAUAUCAGAUAUGAAAGAUGCAUGAUCGUGCUUUAAUGCAACUUUUCAUUGGAACUUUAUCUGUUACUGGAAUGUCUUAUAUAAUUGGCUGUACCCAUGCAACUGAAAUGUGGAUGAGUCUUCACGAUAGGUUUUCCACUGUCACCAAAGCUAGUAUAUUUCAAUUGAAAACUGAGCUUCAAAAUAUUAAGAAGGGAACUGAGUUAAUUUCUCAGUAUCUACAAAGGGUAAAGGAUGCUCGUGAUCAUUUGGCUGCUGCUGGAGUAUCAUUUGCUGAUGACGAUAUUAUCAUCAUUGCUCUCAAAUGGUUACCUUCCGAGUACAAUACUUUUAGAACAGUGAUUCGAGGGAGAGACAAUGUUAUUUCACUAAAAGACUUUCGAGCUCAGUUGCUUGCUGAGGAAGCUGUUAUUGAAAACUCUCCACUAUCUAGUUCUUUUGUUCCUGCUAUGCUAGCUCACGGACAUGACUCUAAAUGGAAAGGAUUACUACUUGCAGAGGAUUCUUCUCCUACAAACAGCAAUUAGUCAUCACAAUAUCAAACUGGAAGUUCUUCUUAUUCUAAUAAUAGUAGUCACAACUAUAGUUCUGGAGGCUACACUAAUGGUGGCAAAAACUACAAUUCUGGAGGAUUUCGAGGCUCUAAUUUUAGAGGCCGAUCUCGAGGUCUAAAUCAUUUUGUGACUCCAAGAUUUUCUGGUAGCAAUUACAAUAAUGGUCUCGGGAUUCUUAGUCAUGCAAGACCUCAUGUUUCUACUUACUCUGAGCACGACAAUAAUGUGCCCAUCUGUCAUAUUUGUACCAAAAAAGGUCACAUUGCCUCUGAUUGUUUUCAAAGGCACUUUUCUACACCAGUUUCAUCUUUACCCAUCUAGUGCCAAAUUUGCUAGAAAUUUGGGCACUCUGCACUUCAAUGCUAUCACAAGGCUAACUUUUCUUAUCAAGGAAGGUAACCAUCACCAAAUCUCACUGCCAUGAAUGCCACUUAUCAACCUUCUACACCACAAGAACAGUUUUGGGUGGUUAACACUGGAGCUACAUCCCAUAUAACCUCUGAAUUGGCAAACCUUAAUCUUGCAACUCCUUUCAUAGACACUGAUACUAUCACCACAACUAGUGGUUCAAGUUUAGAAAUAUCCCAUACUGGUUUUUCAACUUUAAGAGCUCCUAAAUAUGCUUUUCAGUUGAAAGAAAUUUUACAUGUUCCAAAACUGUCACAACAUAUGUUGUCAGUAUAUCAGCUCUGUAAAGAUAAUCAUUGCAGGUUUAUAUGUGAUGAGUUUUGUUUCUGGAUACAGGACAAGAUCAUAGGGAGAAUACUUCUUCAGGGGCUAUGUAGAGCUGGAUUGUACCCGAUUCCUUUUCACAUACCUCCAUUCAUACUCAAGCAAACAUAUCAAACAUCUCACUUACCUAAACAACAACACUGUCUCAUUGGUCAUCAAGUCAACACAUCUCUUUGGCACAACAUAUUAGGCCACCUUUCCAAUCUUGUUGCUGCAAGAAUGUUGAACCAAUCUCAGGUUCCAUUUGCAUUAGACCAAUCUAGGCAUGUGUGUAUCUCUUGUUUAAAGGGCAAAAUAAUUAAAUUGCCUUUCACUUUUACUGCAAAUAAAAUUGUACAACCCUUAGAAGUCAUCCAUAGUGAUGUUUAGGGGCUAUCUCCUACAUUGUCAAUAGAAGGCUUCAGGUUUUAUGUUACUUAUAUUGAUGAAUGUACCAGGUUUACCUAGAUAUUUCCAUUAAUGAAUAAAAGUGAGGUGUUUCAAACAUUUGUGCAGUUUCAUGCUUUUUUAUCUACUCAGUUUUCCAGUGCAAUUAAAAUCUUUCAAAGUGAUGGUGGUGGUGAAUUUUCCAGUAACAAGUUCAAAUAGUUUUUACUUGACAAAGGCAUAAUACAUCAACAAUCUUGCCCAUAUACACCUGAACAAAAUGGCUUUGCUGAGAGAAAGCAUAGGCACAUUGUUGAAACUGCCCUCACUCUUAUGCAUACCUCCAAAAUUACCUUCCCAGUUUUGGUUUCAUGCCUGUGCCACUGCAGUUUAUUUGAUAAACAGAAUGCCAUGUACUACUCUGUCUAUGAGAUCUCCCUAUUUUUAUCUGUUUGGUACAUUUCCCAUCUUAACCCAUUUGAAAACAUUUGGAUGUAGUUGUUUUCCUUUACUGAGACCCUACAAUACUACUAAACUUCAACCCAAAACUACCCAAUUUGUGUUUAUGGGUUAUGCAGGGCAAUACAAGGGUUACUUCUGUUUUCAACCAAAUACAGGCAAAUUGUAUGUGUCUAGGCAUGUCAUGUUUGAUUAAUAUACUUUUCCUUACACAACUUUGGUAUCUAAAACUCCUCAUUUGGAGUGUGUUUCAAAAUGUACUUCUUCCCAGCUUAUUCCACUUCUCAGAGAAAACAACACAGUGAUUUCCAAUCCACCAUCAUCUUUUUCACCAUUAAUAUCACAUUUCAUUCAUUCAUCAUUAUCAUCCGCAUCAUCUACAUCCUUACCACCUCGAGCUUCAAAGUUAUUCAUUGAACCAACUAGUGCUUCAGAGUCUUUGAAUGUACAUUAUUCAGCUCCAGAGUUGUUCACUACUACACAUGCACCUAAUACCUUAUCCCAAGCUUCAAACUUAUUCUCUCCAGACUCUAUCACAGCUACACAGUCCCAAAUCCCUGAUGAUCCUGAUUUUCAAUCUGAAAAUCUUACUGUUGUGCUUCCAGUUUCUUCAGUCAAUCUGCAUCCUAUGCAAACUUGGUCUAAAAAUGGGAUUGUUAAAAGGAAAGCAUACUCAGCUACUGUUUCUUCAUCUGACCAUUUUAUUGUUGAGCCUACCACUUAUAAAGCUACUAGUAAAAUCCCAGGAUGGCAAGCAGUUAUGCAAGAUGAGAUCACUGCUCUACAUUUGCAAUAGACCUGGGAUCUUGUUCUCCUUCCAAGUGGCAAAAAUCUUGUUGGUUGCAAGUGGGUUUAUCAACUUAAAAAGAAUCCUGAUGAGUCCAUGUCCAAGUACAAAGCACGGUUAGUUGCCAAGGGUUAUAGCCAAAAUGAAGGGAUUGACUAUAGUGAGACCUUCAGUCCAGUAGUCAAACCAACUACAGUACGAUUAAUUCUCGCUCUUACUACUCAGUUUCAUUGGGAUUUGAGACGAUUAGAUGUCAAAAAUGCGUUUUUGCAUGGUGACUUAAAUGAAGAGGUGUAUAUGGCUCAACCUCCAGGGUUUUUCAGUAAUGAUCAUCCAUCUCACUAUGUUUGCAAGCUAAAGAAAUUGUUAUAUGAUUUAAAAUAGGCUCCUCGAGCUUGGAAUGAGAAGUUUACAAGUUUUCUUCCAGGUUUGGGUUUUCAACCUUCCCUUGCAGAUCUCUCUCUCUUUGUGAAACAUACUGAGCUUGGCAUUGUGGUGUUAUUACUAUAUGUUGAUGAUAUCAUUAUCACUGGUAGUACUUCAAGUGACAUUUCCCAGUGAUCUUGGCUCUUACUCAACAAUUUGAUAUGAAGGACUUGGGACAACUCACUUAUUUUCUUGGUUUACAAAUACAGUAUCAAUCUGAUGGUUUAUUUGUUUCCCAAUCCAAAUAUAUCAAGGAUCUCUUGGAAAAAGGUUGAUAUGCAAAAUGCCAAAGCUUGUGCUACUCCUUGUCUUCCUUCUCACAGGCUUCUUAAGGAAGAAAGGCAGCCCUAUCACAAUCCUGAACAGUAUUGUAGUGUAGUUGGUGCAUUGCAAUAUCUGACAUUUACCAGGCUAGACAUUGCAUUUGCCAUAAAUCAAUGCUGUCAAUUUAUGCAUCAUCCCAUGGAUUCUCAUGUAGUUGCAGUCAAACGGAUUCUUCGAUAUCUCAGUGGUACAAUGACCUAUGACAUACAUUUUAAACCUAGAAAAUUGUUCUUACAAGCAUAUAGUGAUGUUGAUUAGGUUGGGGAUCCAAAUGACCAUCGUUCAACUUCUAGUUGUAUUGUCUAUCUCGGUGCAAGUCUAAUUUAUUGGGCAUCCAGGAAACAACACAUUGUUUCUCAGUCGUCUACUGAGGCAGAAUAUAGAGCUUUAGCUAUAACUGCUGCUGAAAUGGUUUGGAUAUGACAACUUCUGUGCGAUUUACAGGUUCCUUUAUAUGCUCAUCCAACGAUGUAUUAUGACAAUAUCUCUACUAUAACACUGUCUUCUAAUCCAUUUUUUCACUAUCGAGUGAAACAUAUUGAGAUAGAUUAUCAUUUCGUUCAUGAAAGAGUAGUUCGAGGAGACUUGGCUGUUCAUCAUGUGUCUUCAAAGGAACAAUUUGCCGAUAUCCUUACAAGGGGUCUGUCUAUAUCUUUGUUUCAGCGUCAUUGUGCCAAUCUCAUGCUUGGUUGCACCAACCAUGUGAUUGAGGGGGGAUGUAAAGCUAUAGAUAAGGAAGAUCAAUCCAAUGGCCAAGAAGAUGCCAUCUGUCAAGAGAUUAAGUGAUAUGGUUGUUAGUUUGUUAAGGAUUUGUUACUUAUUGUACAAGUAAUGUGAAGUGUAUAAAUAGGAACCUUUUGUAUUCAUUCAGACAGUUAGUGAAAGCAAUAACAAACAGUGCAAUUCUCUCUCAUUCUCUUCGAUCUCUCUCUCUCUACAUUAUGUGUUUACAAUCUUUCUCUCUCUAAAACACCAUUGAUAAUCUUCAAGCUCAAGGUAGUUGAUUCAACACUAGGAUGGGGGAUUAUUUCCUAAGAAGCCCUCAUUUGCAUCCUUUUCGUGACUUCGUUUGUGUCUUCUUCCCUGAGGGGUAUGCAUUUUAACUUACGGCCACCAAAAAAAUCCCAAAUAAACACCAACAGC
rnacentral:lncRNA from 1 species